rnacentral:rRNA from 1 species
CAGCAGCAGCCGCGGUAAUACGGAGGGUGCAAGCGUUAAUCGGAAUUACUGGGCGUAAAGCGCACGCAGGCGGUCUGACAAGUCAGAUGUGAAAUCCCCGGGCUUAACCUGGGAACUGCAUUUGAAACUGUCAGGCUGGAGUCUUGUAGAGGGGGGUGGAAUUCCAGGUGUAGCGGUGAAAUGCGUAGAGAUCCGGAGGAAUACCGGUGGCGAAGGCGGCCCCCUGGACAAAGACUGACGCUCAGGUGCGAAAGCGUGGGGAGCAAACAGGAUUAGAUACCCGAGUAGUCCCUGUCUCUUAUAC